rnacentral:rRNA from 1 species
UACGUAGGGUGCGAGCGUUAAUCGGAAUUACUGGGCGUAAAGCGUGCGCAGGCGGUUCGUUGUGUCGGCGGUGAAAGCCCCGGGCUCAACCUGGGAAUGGCCGUUGAAACUGGCGAACUGGAGUGUGGCAGAGGGGGGUGGAAUUCCGCGUGUAGCAGUGAAAUGCGUAGAGAUGCGGAGGAACACCGAUGGCGAAGGCAGCCCCCUGGGCUGACACUGACGCUCAGGCACGAAAGCUGGGGGAGCGAACAGG